GAUGAACGCUGGCGGCGUGCCUAAUACAUGCAAGUCGAGCGAACAGACGAGGAGCUUGCUCCUCUGACGUUAGCGGCGGACGGGUGAGUAACACGUGGAUAACCUACCUAUAAGACUGGGAUAACUUCGGGAAACCGGAGCUAAUACCGGAUAAUAUAUUGAACCGCAUGGUUCAAUAGUGAAAGACGGUUUUGCUGUCACUUAUAGAUGGAUCCGCGCCGCAUUAGCUAGUUGGUAAGGUAACGGCUUACCAAGGCGGCGAUGCGUAGCCGACCUGAGAGGGUGAUCGGCCACACUGGAACUGAGACACGGUCCAGACUCCUACGGGAGGCAGCAGUAGGGAAUCUUCCGCAAUGGGCGAAAGCCUGACGGAGCAACGCCGCGUGAGUGAUGAAGAUCUUCGGAUCGUAAAACUCUGUUAUUAGGGAAGAACAAAUGUGUAAGUAACUAUGCACGUCUUGACGGUACCUAAUCAGAAAGCCACGGCUAACUACGUG
rnacentral:rRNA from 1 species